CGUAGGUGGCAAGCGUUAUCCGGAUUUACUGGGCGUAAAGGGAGCGUAGGCGGAUAUUUAAGUGGGAUGUGAAAUACCCGAGCUUAACUUGGGAGCUGCAUUCCAAACUGGAUAUCUAGAGUGCAGGAGAGGAGAAUGGAAUUCCUAGUGUAGCGGUGAAAUGCGUAGAGAUUAGGAAGAACACCAGUGGCGAAGGCGAUUCUCUGGACUGUAACUGACGCUGAGGCUCGAAAGCGUGGGAGCAAACAGGAUU
rnacentral:rRNA from 1 species